rnacentral:rRNA from 1 species
AAAGAGCGCGUAGGCGGGUUCUUAAGUGAGGGGUGAAAGUCCGAGGCUCAACCUCGGAACUGCCUUUCAUACUGGGAGCCUUGAGUGCGGGAGAGGCGAGUGGAAUGGUCGGUGUAGCGGUGAAAUGCGUAGAUAUCGAUCGGAACACCCAUGGCGAAGGCAGCUCGCUGGCCUGUAACUGACGCUGAGGCGCGAAAGCGUGGGGAGCAAACAGGAUUAGAUACCCCAGU